rnacentral:snRNA from 1 species
GGAGGUGAGGGUGAUCUGGCUGUGACAUCUGUCACUCCACUGAUCACCAGAGUUGAUUUGGCUGAUCUGGCUGGCUAAGCAGGUGCCCCUUUCCUCCCUCACUGCUCCAUGUGCAUCCUUUCUAACACAACGCUCUCAGAGUGGACAACCAUCCCCCACAGAGGAGGAGGAUUCCUCAACAAAACUAUAAAAGUAGGUGUGCCCUCCUGCUUGAACCCACAAACAAGUGCUCAAAGUUCAUUUGUAGGAGAAGGUAGUGUAGUCAAUCUCCAAUACUCCAGACACAUCAAAAUGAGGUGCUCCAUGUGACACUCUGCUUUUUUUU